rnacentral:ribozyme from 1 species
UGCGACGGGACUCUUUUACUCUUUGGCCUUUCACUAUGGUCAGGCGGGCAACGUCAAGAGUGCUGUGGUUGCGAUCACAAAACUGUUGCUCUUGCACUUUAAGAAGGC